GGCGGACGGGUGAGUAAUGCUUGGGAACAUGCCUUGAGGUGGGGGACAACUUGGAAACGACUGCUAAUACCGCAUAAUGUCUACGGACCAAAGGGGGCUUCGGCUCUCGCCUUUAGAUUGGCCCAAGUGGGAUUAGCUAGUUGGUGAGGUAAUGGCUCACCAAGGCGACGAUCCCUAGCUGGUUUGAGAGGAUGAUCAGCCACACUGGGACUGAGACACGGCCCAGACCCCUACGGGAGGCAGCAGUGGGGAAUAUUGCACAAUGGGCGCAAGCCUGAUGCAGCCAUGCCGCGUGUGUGAAGAAGGCCUUCGGGUUGUAAAGCACUUUCAGUCAGGAGGAAAGGUUAGUAGUUAAUACCUGCUAGCUGUGACGUUACUGACAGAAGAAGCACCGGCUAACUCCGUGCCAGCAGCCGCGGUAAUACGGAGGGUGCGAGCGUUAAUCGGAAUUACUGGGCGUAAAGCGUAC
rnacentral:rRNA from 1 species